rnacentral:rRNA from 1 species
GCAAGGGUGCGUAACACGUGGGUCACUUCUGCCAUGAAGGUUCUGGAAUAACUUGCUGAAGAGGCGAUGCUAAUACCAGUGAUGUGACUAAUUAUGAGUAGGCAUCUUCCGAUUGUCAAAGCUGGGGACCUGUAAGGCCUGAGGUCUGCUUCAUGUAUGAGCCCGCGGUCUAUCAGCUAGUUGGUGAGGUAACGGUCACCAAGCUAAGACGGGUAGCUGGUCUGAGAGGACGAACCAGCCACAUUGGGAACUGAGACACGGUUCCCAAGAUCACCAUAACGGGGGUGGCAGCAGUCGAGAAUUUUUCCACAAUGGGCGCAAGCCUGAUGGAGCGACGCCGCGUGGGGGAUGAAUUGGCUUCCGGGCCCGUAAACCCCUGUCAUUUGCGGAACAAUUCGGUUCAAUUAACAACUGGAACCGGUUGAUAGUUAGCGAAAGAGGAAGGGACGGCU